GACUUGACAUCUCCUGAAUUACUCUUAAUCGAGGAAGUCCCUUCGGGGACAGGAAGACAGGUGGUGCAUGGUUGUCGUCAGCUCGUGUCGUGAGAUGUUGGGUUAAGUCCCGCAACGAGCGCAACCCUUAUUGUUAGUUGCUACUAUUAAGUUAAGCACUCUAACGAGACUGCCGCGGUUAACGUGGAGGAAGGUGGGGAUGACGUCAAAUCAUCAUGCCCCUUAUGUCUAGGGCUACACACGUGCUACAAUGGCUGGUACAACGAGCAGCAAACCCGCGAGGGGGAGCAAAACUUGAAAGCCAGUCCCAGUUCGGAUUGUAGGCUGAAACUCGCCUACAUGAAGUUGGAGUUGCUAGUAAUCGCGAAUCAGCAUGUCGCGGUGAAUACGUUCCCGGGUCUUGUACACACCGCCCGUCACACCAUGAGAGCCGGUAACACCCGAAGCCCGUGAGGUAACCGUAAGGAGCCAGCGGUCGAAGGUGGGAUUGGUGAUUGGGGUGAAGUCGUAACAAUGUAGCCGUAGGAGAACCUGCGGCUGGAUCACCUCCUUUCUAGGGA
rnacentral:rRNA from 1 species